AAUUAGACUUAAUAUUCUGUGUUUCUCGGAUGAAGCGACUCUCAGGAUGAUUACUUUUGACGAGUUUGUCAGCCAACUCUUCACAGGUGUGCAUCCUCUCCAGUCCCACCUCCAGCUGCUUUAAGAAUACCUCAAAUCUCCCACACAGUUGCUGUCAUGAAACAAGAGAUCUUGUUGCCUAGCAUUGAGGUUCAGGAAGGCUUUGGAUGGACUUAUUCGUACCCCAUUCUUUGAGAAGACACUGUUCAUCCAUUUUGUGUAGGUCUUCUUCUGCACUGUCAUCCGCUGUUCCUGAAGCUCUCGGAAUCGGCCAUCCGACUCCUCUCCAUCUCCCUGUUUAAACAUCUUCUGACUGUGU